rnacentral:rRNA from 1 species
UGGGGAAUAUUGCACAAUGGGGGAAACCCUGAUGCAGCGACGCCGCGUGGGUGAAGAAGUAUUUCGGUAUGUAAAGCCCUAUCAGCAGGGAAGAAAAAUGACGGUACCUGAUCAAGAAGCCCCGGCUAACUACGUGCC